ACCACCACGUGAGAAGGAGAGGGCGGGGCAAGGGAGAGCCCCAGGCCCAGGGACAUUAGGCCCCGUCUGCACCCCUCAGUCCAGCUCCAGUGAACCUGGGCCUCUAAGGCAUUCCCAGCAGAAUCUGGUGUGUCUACAGACAACCUGGGGCCUUUACUUGGGAAUGAGCUGGCAGGUGACGACC